rnacentral:lncRNA from 1 species
UUUGUGCAGACGAAAUGCUUCAUAUGUGGCAUUGGAAGUGACUACUUUGAUACAACGCCGCAUGGCUUUGAGACUCACACUUUUGAUGAACACAACCUGGCCAAUUACAUGUUCUUUUUAAUGUACCUUAUCAACAAAGAUGAGACCGAGCACACUGGGCCGGAGUCAUAUGUGUGGAAGAUGUACCAGGAGCGCUGUUGGGACUUCUUCCCAGCUGGAGACUGUUUCAGAAAACAGUUUGAGGAUCAGCUCUCUUAAAAUAUUUCCUUCAAAUAUUUUACAAAUGAGGUUGUCAUGUCACUCAUAUCACAGCAAACUGGAAUUGUCUAGAAAAAUCAGGAAAAUCCUGUUUGUGAACUAUUAAGAUGACUAUUAAUAAAAACUUUAAUAAUUUAUAUGGAUAAAUAGGAAUAAGAAGGGAUAAGAAUUUACCCUAGAAGGGAAAUUCAUGCCAGUCUUUUUGUAAAGUUUAGUCAUUUAGCUACUUAUUUGUAAAGUAUUGCCUCUGACACAAAUUUAGAGA